ACUUUUGACGUUUGUCUUGAGCGUACAAAUAUAUAAUUGGUUCGCUAGAGUCUUAAAUUGAAGUGCUUCAAUUUAGGAUUAUCGAUUGUUGAAUCUUGGGAGAUGGACGCCUAUAGAACUGUGAGCACAAGGACAGGGGCGAAAUCUGUCUUUAGGACAUUGCAAUUCCUGCAAGCCUCCAUCGCUAAAGUUGUCAGUAUUUCUACUUGUGUUUGUUAAUUUACACUAAUUUCAUGUAAAUUUGUUAUUGUAUUUGAUUAUUACAAUUAUGUUGAGAAUUAUUAUUAUCUACAAAUUCAUAUUUCCUAUUGUUCUGCCAAUGUUUAAGGAUCGAGCAGAUAGACCUUCUAUUGAGGAUGUUCUGUGGAACUUGCAGUACGCUGAACAAGUUCAGGAUGCAUGGCAGGGAGGAGAAUCCCAGAGCAGUGAGGGCUCGCCGGUUUCACCUUCAAUUCCUUCACGCCUCACCUAUUAGCGGUGAGUUGCAGGUUCCUUAGCCACAUAUAUAUUUCCGUCUGCAGAUAGACAUCAGUUAUGGAUUUGUGCAGAGGGAAUGGCACUAGUAAAAUAAAAGAAGAUUCUGUCAACAGGAGUCUUUUUGUUAUGCUAGCUGCUUCAUCUCCAUCCUGCGUAAUGCCCCAAUCAUGUUGCCUAAAAGCUUUCCAUUUCCUUUGUGAUCCUUGAGAAUCCACGCCAUAGCUAGCUACACAAAGACAAUUGAUGGUUGCAUAUACAUAUUUUGCGAGAUUGCAUAUAUAUAUAUAUAUAUAUGUUGCGAGAUUGCAUAUAUAUGAUAGGCAUGUAAAUGUGAGUGAGUUUUUUUAUAAGGAAUGUAAGUGUAAAUUGUU
rnacentral:lncRNA from 1 species